GCAAUGAUGGUUCAGUGGUAGAAUUCUCACCUUCCAUGCAGGAGACCCGGGUUCGAUUCCCAGCCAAUGUA
rnacentral:tRNA from 1 species